ACCCGCCUAGCUCAAUCGGAUAGAGCGUCAGACUCUUAUAGUAGUCUAGUGUUUGGUUGACCUGAAGGCUGCGAGUUGGACCCUCGCGGUGGGCU